CACGUAGGGCGCAAGCGUUGUCCGGAUUUACUGGGCGUAAAGAGCGCGCAGGCGGUCGUUCAAGUCGAGUGUGAAAGCCCCCGGCUCAACUGGGGAGGGUCACUCGAUACUGAUCGACUCGAAGGCAGGAGAGGGUAGUGGAAUUCCCGGUGUAGUGGUGAAAUGCGUAGAUAUCGGGAGGAACACCAGUGGCGAAGGCGACUACCUGGCCUGUUCUUGACGCUGAGGCGCGAAAGCUAGGGGAGCAAACGGG
rnacentral:rRNA from 1 species